GGCUGGCAGGGCCUAGGGGGCAAGACCCAGGGGCGUAACGCCAACUGCCCACCAGGUUGCCUGACCUAUUUGGGGGGAAGAGGCAAAGGUGCAUUGUAGUGUCACAAUCCCGCAGCGACGUGAACCCUGGCUUUCUUUUUGGCAGAGUCAGAGAGAGGAAGUUGGAGAAUCUUCCGUCCCACUGGUUCACUCCUCAAAUGGCCACAAGCAUUGGAGCUAGGCUGAUCCGAAGGCAGGACCAGAAGCUUCCUCCCACCCUCCAUGAGGCAACUCUCAGGCCCACUGAUGCCAGGCAUCUCUCCAUGUGGGGUUGGCAAAAUCAGGGGCAAAAGUUUGCCAUAAAAAUGAAGGUGCCUGUGCUAAUAACUGGCACC